UACGUAGGGGGCUAGCGUUGUCCGGAAUCAUUGGGCGUAAAGAGCGCGUAGGCGGCCAGAUAAGUCCGGUGUGAAAGUCAAAGGCUCAACCUUUGAAUGCCGCUGGAAACUGUCUGGCUAGAGUCCGGGAGGGGCGAGUGGAAUUCCUGGUGUAGCGGUGAAAUGCGCAGAUAUCAGGAGGAACACCAAUGGCGAAGGCAGCUCGCUGGAACGGUACUGACGCUGAGGAGCGAAAGCGUGGGUAGCAAACAGG
rnacentral:rRNA from 1 species